AAGUCGUAACAAGGUUUCCGUAGGUGAACCUGCGGAAGGAUCAUUACUGAGUUUAUAAGGGGGUCUUUUUGUUGGUUGUUUUUUUUGACGAUCAAUUAAAAAUUCCUUCUUUCUUCUCUUCACCCCUUUGUUAUUAUUUGUACAAGUUGCUUUGGCAGUUGAUUUUGUUAUCUUCUGCCAAACGGCUUUUUCAAACACUUUGUUAUCCAACAAUUAAGAUAUCUUUUGUCUAAUUCUUACGACUUGAAUAAGUAUGUAAAACUUUCAACAACGGAUCUCUUGGUUCUG
rnacentral:misc_RNA from 1 species